AGAGUUUGAUCCUGGCUCAGGAUGAACGCUGGCGGCGUGCUUAACACAUGCAAGUCGAGCGAGAUUCAACCGGUGGCAACACCGGGGAAGAUCGAGCGGCGAACGGGUGAGUAACACGUGAGUAACCUGCCCUUAACUCUGGGAUAAGCCUGGGAAACUGGGUCUAAUACCGGAUAUGACUCCUCAUCGCAUGGUGGGGGGUGGAAAGCUUUAUUGUGGUUUUGGAUGGACUCGCGGCCUAUCAGCUUGUUGGUGAGGUAAUGGCUCACCAAGGCGACGACGGGUAGCCGGCCUGAGAGGGUGACCGGCCACACUGGGACUGAGACACGGCCCAGACUCCUACGGGAGGCAGCAGUGGGGAAUAUUGCACAAUGGGCGAAAGCCUGAUGCAGCGACGCCGCGUGAGGGACGAAGGCCCUUGGGUCGUAAACCCCUGUUGCGAGGGAAGAAGUACCCACCGGGAGAGCCGGUGGGGAAGACGGUACCUCGCGAGGAAGCACCGGCUAACUACGUGCCAGCAGCCGCGGUAAUACGUAGGGUGCAAGCGUUAUCCGGAUUUAUUGGGCGUAAAGGGCGCGCAGGCGGCUACCAGCAGUGGCCCGUGGAAUCUCUCCGCUCAACGGAGAGAGGCCGGGCCAAACGGGGUGGCUUGGGGCAGGCAGAGGCAUGCAGAACGGGCGGAGUAGGGGUGAAAUCCGUAGAGACCGUCCGGAAUACCAGUGGCGAAGGCGGCAUGCUGGGCCUGAAGCCGUAAGGCUGAACCCGACGCUCGGGCGCGAAAGCGUGGGGAGCGAGCGGAAUUAGAUACCCCCGUAGUCC
rnacentral:rRNA from 1 species